GGGGCCCACACAUUUUCUUUCUCACCCACUAUUUCAUUUUACCUUACAUUAUAUAACACAUACACACACAUAGACAGAGGGGGCGAACAGAAACAGAAUAAAGAGAGAGAGAGAGGGUGAUGAGAAACAAAUUAGAGAGGAGAACGAGAGAAGUCUGGGAGGAACGAAAAAAUAGAGGAAAACGAGGGCCCAUAAAUAUCACUUUCUUCUACAAAGUUAAUCCAUUCUUUAAACCACCAUUAAUCUCAUCUUCCUUCACCCUUGUUUCCUCCCACCAAAUAUCACCAUAGCGAUUGUCCCUAACACCAAAUAUCACCUACAACUAAUUCAAACACCCUUACUUAACGUCAAACUAAAGUGGUCGGGUUAGUUAUAUUUUGUUUGAAGUUGUAGAAUGAGGUUUUCAGCUCGCCGUUUUGUCUAUUUUUUGUUGAUUUUUCACUUCUCUGGUCAAGUUUUCGUCGCCGGAUUUUUUUUCCCUUCAUCAAUUGUAAAGCUGUUUUGGGAAGUUCUAUUAAUGGAAAAGGCUACUUAAAGUGUAUAUUCAACUCAAUUUCCAGGAGAAACUUAUCACUAAAGGUCUAACUCUUUUCUCUUUUUUUCUUGCAUUUUAUUUUCUAGCUUUGUUGCUGUUUGAUUUACUUUACGAAAUGGUCUUGUGGCUUAUAUUAUAAUUUGUAUGUUAAUGUGUUCUUAACAAAAUAGUUGUUAUACUUUGAAUCACUAUUUCCUUAAUUAAGAACAUAAGAGAUAAUUUGAUUUUGAGUUAUUGGGUUUAGUUAUAAAAGUUAAAAUUAAAAUGGACACUACCAUGAAACAAGCAAGAGAUUUGGGGUUAAGAAUAUUUUAGAGUGGUUGGAUUUAAACCAAUAAAAUAAAAUUGGGCUUUGCUUGAGUUAUUCGCAUUUUAGACUGACAAAAGAAAAAAAAUUGAAAACAAAUUUAGAUUAAAAGGGAUUUGGGUUUAAUAUGAAUCUUAUUUAUUGCAAUUGAGUAUGUUAGAAUGCUUUGGGCGCAUUUUGAAUCUAUCAUCGUGAUUGUGUACACGUUCGCGUGAUAUAAUUAUGAUUCUAAAAGUAAAUCAAGGUCUGCGUUCGUGCAACUUCAGUCAAACUUUCUUAAUAAUAAUAAAGUAUUAUUAAUUAUGGACACGUUUGCGUGACAUAAUUUUUGACGCGCCAAACAAAUGGGUACACGUACGCGUGACCUAUUUUAAGAUAAUUUCUUGACUAAAAGAGGUAAAUGCACAUAGGUUCUAAAAUAAUUAAUUAGGCAAUUUAAUUAAGCCAAGUAUGAUUAAAGCGACCGUACUAAAAUCACGUAACCCGGGAAUGCUAACACCUUCUCCAGGGUUAAUAGAAUUCCUCACCCAGAUUUCUAUGUUCGCAGACUGUAAAACAGAGUCAAACUUCCUCGAUUCAGGAUUUUAAACUGGUGACUUGGGACACCAUAAAUUAUCCCAAGUUGUGAUUUUGAAUUUGAAUAAAUAAUCUCGUUUCGAUUAUCGUCACUUUAAAUGGAAAAACUUCCUUAUAUCCUCUCUCGGGUGGUAAAAAGGAGGUCUGAUAGCUCAGGCGACUCUGCUGGGGAUAAGAACCCAGAAUCUCCGGUUCAGGGUUCAGAAUUCGAGCUUGUUAAUAUGAUCUAUGCUUGGCUUUAUUAUUUGUUGAUAUUACUGUAUUUGUGGACCUAAUAUGCUAGUUGACGCUUAUUUACCGCUUUAAUAUUAUUUGAACUGUAUUAAAUUGUCUUCUUACGCCUCCCUUUUGAGUCCUCUAAGAAUGAUGCACAUAUUCGAGUGGCCCACUUUUCUGUUAGAAGUUAUACCAAAUAGAACAAGGUUGGGCCAGCAACAAGGUUGGGUAGACUUUUGUGCUCCCGGGACGUUGCCCCCACCUCGGCUCGAGCUGUUUGCUUGGGUAAACCAUGUCUAGAACACACCCCCUGGGUUUCAAACCUAGAAUAAUAUAGCCUCAUCCGGAUCCCUAGUAGGAACAUUUGUUUGCAUCACGUGCAUUUGACUUAGGGGACUCAAACAGGGGUUGAGUUCGUCUAGGACAAGUGUACCCAGAAUGAAAGACCAUCCUGAUGCAUCUUACGUGCUAUUUAUAUAUUUAUUUGCUUCGGCUUGUAUGUUGACUGGCUAAGGAAAGAAAAAACAAUGGAAAAAUUAAAAGUGAGGUAGGAUAGAGAAUUCACCCAGUUAUGAAAAUCCUGGUAUUUGAAAACGCCUCGAAACUCUGCCAAAAUUUUUGAAAAAAAGAAGAAGAAGGGAAAAUAUAUUUCAAAAAAUGAAAGUGGGUCAAUAUCAUGUUUUUCCAAUUAUGUCAAAACUGACCGAACUACGCGGGUCUGAUUCUUACCGGAUGUGAGAUACGUAUGCAAACCUCAUUGGUUCCGGGCCACCAUUUUAAAAAAAAUCCAAAACUAUUUUCCUUUACUUCCUUCUUUAGAAAGUCUUUCUUUUAGAUCUCAUUUUUUAAAAAAUACAAAAAAAAUCUCUCUCAAAAUCCAAAAAUAUUUGUUUGAAAAUUCAAAAAAGUAUUUUGUCUUUUCUUUUGUAGUAUUUCUUUCAUAAAUUCAAAGUAAAAGUCCAAAAAUAUUUCCUUUAUUCUUUGGAAGUUUUUCUUUCGAAAUUUUCAGAACAAAGAAAAAGAGAAAAAAGAAAAAGAAGUUAAAAUUCAAGAAAAUAUUUUUUUCUCUUCUUUAGACGUCUUUAUUUUCAAAAAAUUCUUUUAAAAAAACAAACAAAUCGAAAUCCAAGAAUAUUUUAUUUCUUCUUUGUAAGUAUGUCUUUCGAAAAAAAUAAAUUUCAAAAUCCAAAACAAAAUAAAAAAAUAAUUUAUUUACUUUAUUUUCGGUCUUCCCGAACUACACAAGAUCUAAUUCAUGUUCCCACAUAAUAUGUAGGCACCCCACAUCAGGUUUGAUUGAAUCAUUUUUUAAAAAAAAAAGAAAAAAGAGAGAAAAUAGGAAGGAAAGUGCUUAAAAAAAACAAAAGAGUGACCAUUCUAACAUGUUUUUUGUUUUGAAUUGUGAAGAAGUUUGAGGUGGUUGGUUUGUGGUAAGCGGACAUCACAAGAUCCAAGGAAAAAUGAUAACUGACAUCGAAGCUGUUACAACUGCUCAAGAGACUCAGGGUCAGAGGGUUCAACAAGAGUCUACUGUGUUUGAGGAAAAUAGAACGCUAAAACAACAAAUGACCAAAAUGUGUCAAGCAUGGGCCAAUGGCCAAGGAUAGCCUUGUCAUGAGUCACAAUUUGCUACCCAGCAAGAGCAGUACCACUCUCCUGAGUACCACUCGUACUUGUUUGAUCUUCCUGCAAACAUUGAGAAGUCUGCCCGAAAGAUGGCACAAGAAGAAAUGACCCAACGAGUGAAAAGCUUAGAACAACGAUUGAAAAACAUGCAAUGGUUGGCAGGUCAGAAGAGUAUUGCCUUCAAGGAUCUAUUUAUGUUCUCCAAUGUCCACUUGCGACUUGGUUUCAAGAUCCCCAAAUUUGAAAAGUAUGAUGGACAUGGAGACCCCAUAACCCACUUGAAAAGGUAUUGCAAUCAACUAAGAGGUGCGGGAAGAAACGAAGCAUUAUUAACAACUUAUUUUGGGGAAAGCCUUACGGGUGUAGCCUCCGAGUGGUUUAUGGAUCAAGACACAUCUCGCUAGUACGUCUAGGAUGACAUGACAUAGGCCUUUGUCAAAUAGUUCCAAUACAACAUAAACAUCGCCCAGACCGCAAUUUCCUUUCGAACCUGAAGAAAAAACCAACUGAAUGUUUCAGGGAAUAUGCCAUUAAAUGGAGAGAGCAGGCAGCUAGAGUUAAACCACCCAUUGAUGACCAUGAACUAAUCACUGUCUUUCUUCAGGCUCAAGAGCUAGAUUAUUUUUAAAACAUGAUGUCCACAGUGAGUAAAUCCUUCUUGGAAGCAAUCAAAAUGGAGGAAAUGGUUGAGAAUGGUCUUAAAAUAGGAAAAAUUAUAAGUCAAGUAAUUCUCAAAGCCGCAACUCAGGCUGUCCAGAUUAAAUCUGAGAAUUUUAGGGACACAAAUAAGAAGGACGAAGAAAUUACGAUGACAUCAGGGUCGAGAAGAGGUUCUAGGAGAGCAUCUCGAAGGUAUGACCAGCCCCGUCUGUUUUCUGAUGAUGCUCCAGAGCACUAUUAUCCACCUCAAUACUCACAAUACUCUGUUGCUCUACUUCAGUAUGUUGUCCAGCCACCAAAUCACCUAAGAAGGCGAGCACGAGCACCGCAAAAUCUCCACCAGCCUCCACAAAAUUUUCAAGCACCCUAUAACCCACGUCCAAGCCAGGGAUAUAGAAGGGAACAAAGGUUGAAAGAUAAUUUUACACCAAUAGGAGAGUCCUAUGCAAGCUUAUUUGAGAAGUUAAAGCAUUAUGACAUGAUUGCACCCAUUCCUCCAAAUCAUGUGGACCCACGUGCAAGAAGCUUUGACCCUUCUAAAAGGUGUGAAUACCAUUCCAAUUCCUAAGGGCACAAUGUUGAAAGCUAUCGGUAUUUGAAAAGAGAAAUAGAAAGGAUGAUCCAGGAAAAACUGAUUGUGAUCCAAGACAGUGACACCCAGAAUAUCACGCAUAAUCCUUUACUUGCACACGAUGAUGCACACUUUGUGGGGAUGAUGCGUGGUGACAUGGAGAAUGAUAAUCCUCUCGGGAACUUGCCUACUAAAAUUGGAGAAGGUCAUGGUGAUUCGGAUGAGCAAAUUUGUGGCUAAAUGUCAAUCUUAGCAAUUGAAAAGUCAUUUCCUCCUCACUAGGAAGGAAUCUUGGUAGCUUGUUUUGAUAUUUUUUAUAUUAUCUGGGUUAUUUCAGGGUUGUGAUCCAGAUUUUAUUUGUUUUAUUGAGUCAAACCCUUCUAUCCCUCCAUUCUGUCUGUGUGAGUCUUGUCCGUUUGUUCUGUCGUUGUUUUCAUUAGCUGGGUUAUUUUAGGUUUGUAACUCGCAUCUUAGGUUGUUUGUCUUGUUUUUAAACCUUUUCAUCCUUUACUCAAUAAAAUACAGUUUGUCCUUUUGUGUUAUUCUGUUCUUAGUUCUUUUUUCACUAGUUCUAAUGACAUGACAUGCAUGCAGAAAUUUUGGCCAAAUCUUAGAAACUGAUUUAAUCUGGA
rnacentral:lncRNA from 1 species